GGACUGACAGAAAUGGAUGAUAAAAUGGCUAAGUGUCAUAUGUGUCUGCUGGGACUGAUAAUUCUCUGUCCAUUUUUCAAAGCUAUUCGCGUUGUGAUCUCUGUUGCGUAGUGUCAGUACAUACUGUAUUCUUUCUGAAUGCACUAAUACUGAACACAGUGGCACACAUAGAAACAAGGUACCAGUGGAAAGGAUGAGACUCAUGUGUUCUGCAGUUCUGCUGAAAAUGUCCGUCUGCCCUGUAAUAAUGCUCUUUCUAACUGCACAUCAACUACAUGGAGCUAUAAUAAAUACAAAGAUUCACAGACCAAUGAACUGAUUGCGGAGGGGAAAACAAAGCAACAAAUAGAGAGACUGAGUCUGGAGUCUGACUGCUCUCUGAACAUCAAGAAAGUCACAAAAGAAGAUUAUGGCCUUUACACCUGCCGACAAUAUGUGAAGGGACAACAAGGAACUGAUACAUUUGUUUAUCUGCAUGUUCUUCAUGUCUCUUCAUCAUCCUCACAGACUGACAUCAGACCAGGCAGCUCUGUGACUCUCUCCUGUCGGUUGUAUUCAUAUAAUGAUUUCCAUUGUGAUACUUUGGUCCAUACUGAGGGAAUUCAGCUGAUCUGGGUGAAUCAGGCUGGUGUUAGUGUGAUGACAGACUCCAGAAAUCAGAUAUCAUUCUCCUCAACACACUGUAAGAGCACUCUGACUACAACACUCCUGAAUGAAGAUCUCAACAGUUAUUUCAGAUGUCAGAUUAGGAAAAAUGAACUGAAGACCUCAGCCACAACAAGUAACAAGUAUUCAUCUCAAACUGAUACAACACCAGUGAUUCCAGUUCACACCACAAACUCUGAGGAGCUCUCGACUAGAACCACAUCAGAAUUUCAUGUACAAGUAGUGAUUUCUGCUGUGGCUGCUGCAUUAGCUGUUGUCCUUGUUGCUGUUUUCUGGGUAAUCUAUAAAAAAAGAGCUGAUAAUAAAAGAGGGACUGACAGCUCCGUGGUCAAAGAUGUGAAUGAACAUAAAGGGACCUAUGAAACAAUCAACAUGUCCAUUCCUUCUAUGCCAAACGCCAAUGAACAGACAGAUGAUGUGACCUAUUCUGAGGUUACUUCUUCCAGUAAAAAACAAGUACAAAAAGAUAAUGAUCAUUCUAAUGACACAGUGACUUACUCUACCAUCAGAGGAGCAGAAUAUACAGCCUUAGGAUGGACUUUACGCCUCUGUGAAAAAGUAGAAAAAAUACCCCUUCAUAUUAUGAGCAGAAAAGGAGUUUUCCCAAACUACUGAGAGAAUUUGGGAGAAUUAUGUAUUUGUAUGUGAAGUAACAGAACUUUUAUAUUAAUUUAUAUUAUUAAUAUUUGUUAAAUGUAUUGUGAAAGGGUACAAAGACAGAAUUCAAAGGCAAUACUGUAAAAAUGUUUCCCAAAUUUUUAACCACAUGUAGUAGAGGGGAAAAACAUUCAGAUUUAUUCUGAAUCUGUAGUCUGGGUCAGUAAUGUUAGCUUAUUUGAUUUGAUUAAAUCUUCAUAGAGAUUAAACAAAUCACCUCCAUCAACUGGAGAGAAGGUUUAUCAGUUGGAUUUCUGUCUUAAAACAUGUAAUAUUCCUGGAGAAGAACAUGGUAAAGAUGGUACUCUUGCUUUUAGCAUGUAUAUAGACUGUUCUUAUACAAAAAAUAUACCAGGUAGACAGUGUGAGCAUUACUUAAGCUUCUAUUCAAAUGAUAUUUUACUAAAAUAUUCUAAAAUGUGACAUUGCAGUGUGCAUAUGAAUUUUCAGGGGUUUUUCAAACGUACCGUGAGCAUAAAAAUGUCAAAAGUUAAAACAAAAGGUUUUGUGUCUUUGAGUAAAAGCAUUUUAAAUGAAUGCUGUUAUAUUUUUUCCAGAAAAUAUUUAAAACAUCUGUAUAAAAACAAAUCUGUUAUCAUCAGAAUUAAACUAAUAUAAAUAUUUAUCUCAGAAAUGUCAGAUGUACUCUGGUAGUUUCUUGUGUCAAGUAACUAAAAGUGUGUGGUUAUUAAACCAUUAAACCUUAUUAAACCAUUUUUAUUUUCGCUUUACUUUGUUAAACUUUUACUUUGGGUUGUUUUACAAUUAUCUUUAAUUUCUUGGUUGCAACUUAUCUGUUC